UGCGGAGGGAUCAUUAGCGAGUUGUUUAACUCCCAAAACCUAUGUGAACGUACCUAUGUUGCCUCGGCGGGGAAGCUUACCCGGUACCUACCCUGUAGUUACCCGGGAGCGAGCUACCCUGUAGCCCUCGACCCGCCGGCGGAUGAUGAAACUCUUGUUUUCUCGUGGCAUUUCUGAGUGGGUAUGCGUAAUACGUUAAAACUUUCAACAACGGAUCUCUUGGUUCUGGCAUCGAUGAAGAACGCAGCGAAAUGCGAUAAGUAAUGUGAAUUGCAGAAUUCAGUGAACCAUCGAAUCUUUGAACGCACAUUGCGCCCAUUAGUAUUCUAGUGGGCAUGCCUGUUCGAGCGUCAUUUCGACCCUCAAGCCCUAGCUGCUUGGUGUUGGGAGCCUGCCUGCGGGCCGCUCCUCAAAGCGAUUGGCGGAGCCGCGGUGGCCCCAAGCGUAGUAUUGUGUUCUCGCUUGUGGUGUGCUGGCGCUGGCGUCUCGCCGUAAAACCCCUAUUUUUCUAGUGGUUGACCUCGGAUCAGGUAGGAAUACCCGCUGAACUUAAGCAUAUC
rnacentral:rRNA from 1 species